rnacentral:tRNA from 1 species
GGGGGUAUAGCUCAGUUGGCUAGAGCACCAGAUUUGCAUUCUGGGGGUCAAGGGUUCGAGUCCCUUUACCUCCA